UCGAACGGAGAGUGAAGAGCUUGCUUUUCACUUUUAGUGGCGGACGGGUGAGUAACACGUGAGCAAUCUGCCUCUGUGAGGGGGAUAACGUCUGGAAACGGACGCUAAUACCGCAUAACAUAUAGUGGCCGCAUGGCCGGUAUAUCAAAGAUUUAUCGCACAGAGAUGAGCUCGCGGCUGAUUAGCUAGUUGGCGGGGUAACGGCCCACCAAGGCGACGAUCAGUAGCCGGACUGAGAGGUUGAACGGCCACAUUGGGACUGAGACACGGCCCAGACUCCUACGGGAGGCAGCAGUGGGGGAUAUUGCACAAUGGGGGAAACCCUGAUGCAGCGACGCCGCGUGAGGGAAGACGGCCUUCGGGUUGUAAACCUCUGUCGCAGGGGACGAAGGAAGUGACGGUACCCUGUGAGGAAGCCACGGCUAACUACGUGCCAGCAGCCGCGGUAAUACGUAGGUGGCAAGCGUUGUCCGGAAUUACUGGGUGUAGAGGGAGCGUAGGCGGGAGUGCAAGUUGAAUGUAUAAACUAUCGGCUCAACUGAUAGAAGCGUUCAAAACUGCACUUCUUGAGUGAAGUAGAGGCAGGCGGAAUUCCUAGUGUAGCGGUGAAAUGCGUAGAUAUUAGGAGGAACACCAGUGGCGAAGGCGGCCUGCUGGGCUUUAACUGACGCUGAGGCUCGAAAGCGUGGGUAGCAAACAGGAUUAGAUACCCUGGUAGUCCACGCUGUAAACGAUGAUUACUAGGUGUGGGGGGACUGACCCCUUCCGUGCCGGAGUUAACACAAUAAGUAAUC
rnacentral:rRNA from 1 species